AACGAACGCUGGCGGCAGGCUUAACACAUGCAAGUCGAACGCCCCGCAAGGGGAGUGGCAGACGGGUGAGUAACGCGUGGGAAUCUACCCAGAUCUACGGAACAACAGUUGGAAACGACUGCUAAUACCGUAUACGCCCUACGGGGGAAAGAUUUAUCGGAUUUGGAUGAGCCCGCGUUGGAUUAGCUAGUUGGUGGGGUAAUGGCCUACCAAGGCGACGAUCCAUAGCUGGUCUGAGAGGAUGAUCAGCCACACUGGGACUGAGACACGGCCCAGACUCCUACGGGAGGCAGCAGUGGGGAAUAUUGGACAAUGGGCGCAAGCUUGAUCCAGCCAUGCCGCGUGAGUGAUGAAGGCCUUAGGGUUGUAAAGCUCUUUCACCGAUGAAGAUAAUGACGGUAGUCGGAGAAGAGGCCCCGGCUAACUUCGUGCCAGCCGCCGCAGUAAUAC
rnacentral:rRNA from 1 species